CGGAGGCUACUGCUAUUGGAGUUCGAUUAAGCCAUGCGAGUCUAAGGGGUACUUGUACCCCUGGCAUAAUGCUCAGUAACACGUGGAUAAUCUACCCUUAGGUGGGGCAUAAACCCGGGAAACUGGGGCUAAUUCCCCAUAGAUACAGAACGCUGGAAUGCCUCUGUAUUCAAAGCUCCGGCGCCUAAGGAUGAGUCUGCGACCUAUCAGGUAGUAGUCAGGGUCACGACCUGACUAGCCAACGACGGGUACGGGGUGUGAGAGCACUUGCCCGGAGAUGGUUUCUGAGACACGAAACCAGGCCCUACGGGGCGCAGCAGGCGCGAAAACUUCGCAAUGCGGGAAACCGUGACGAGGGAACUCCAAGUGUCUAUGCAAUGCAUAGACUGUUUUUCAGCCUAAAUAGCUGUUAGAGUAAGGGGUGGGUAAGACCGGUGCCAGCCGCCGCGGUAACACCGGCACCCCAAGUGGUAGCCACUAUUAUUGGGCCUAAAGCGUUCGUAGCCGGUUUAGUAAAUUCUUGGGUAAAUCGUACAGCUUAACUGUGCGGAUUCCGGGGACACUACUAGACUUGAGACCGGGAGAGAUUAGAGGUACUUGCAGGGGAGCGGUGAAAUGUUGUAAUCCUGCAGGGACCACCAGUGGCGAAGGCGUCUAAUCAUAACGGCUCUGACGGUGAGGAACGAAACCCUGGGGCGCAAACGGGAUUAGAUGCCCCGGUAGUCCAGGGCGUAAACGCUGCUGACUUGGUGUUGGAGAUCCUACGAGGGUGUCCAGUGCUGGCGCGAAGGUAUUAAGUCAGCCGCCUGGGGAGUACGGUCGCAAGACUGAAACUUAAAGGAAUUGGCGGGG
rnacentral:rRNA from 1 species